CGGCGGACGGGCUGAGUAACGCGUGGGAACAUGCCCCAAAGUGAGGGAUAACCUCGAGAAAUCGAGGCUAAUACCGCAUAUGGUCUUCGGAUUAAAGGAUUUAUCCGCUUUGGGAGUGGCCCGCGUACGAUUAGAUUGUUGGUAGGGUAAUGGCCUACCAAGUCGACGAUCGUUAACUGGUCUGAGAGGAUGAUCAGUCAGACUGGAACUGAGACACGGUCCAG
rnacentral:rRNA from 1 species